GAUGAACGCUGGCGGCGUGCCUAAUACAUGCAAGUCGAGCGAACGGACGAGAAGCUUGCUUCUCUGAUGUUAGCGGCGGACGGGUGAGUAACACGUGGAUAACCUACCUAUAAGACUGGGAUAACUUCGGGAAACCGGAGCUAAUACCGGAUAAUAUUUUGAACCGCAUGGUUCAAAAGUGAAAGACGGUCUUGCUGUCACUUAUAGAUGGAUCCGCGCUGCAUUAGCUAGUUGGUAAGGUAACGGCUUACCAAGGCAACGAUGCAUAGCCGACCUGAGAGGGUGAUCGGCCACACUGGAACUGAGACACGGUCCAGACUCCUACGGGAGGCAGCAGUAGGGAAUCUUCCGCAAUGGGCGAAAGCCUGACGGAGCAACGCCGCGUGAGUGAUGAAGGUCUUCGGAUCGUAAAACUCUGUUAUUAGGGAAGAACAUAUGUGUAAGUAACUGUGCACAUCUUGACGGUACCUAAUCAGAAAGCCACGGCUAACUACGUGCCAGCAGCCGCGGUAAUACGUAGGUGGCAAGCGUUAUCCGGAAUUAUUGGGCGUAAAGCGCGCGUAGGCGGUUUUUUAAGUCUGAUGUGAAAGCCCACGGCUCAACCGUGGAGGGUCAUUGGAAACUGGAAAACUUGAGUGCAGAAGAGGAAAGUGGAAUUCCAUGUGUAGCGGUGAAAUGCGCAGAGAUAUGGAGGAACACCAGUGGCGAAGGCGACUUUCUGGUCUGUAACUGACGCUGAUGUGCGAAAGCGUGGGGAUCAAACAGGAUUAGAUACCCUGGUAGUCCACGCCGUAAACGAUGAGUGCUAAGUGUUAGGGGGUUUCCGCCCCUUAGUGCUGCAGCUAACGCAUUAAGCACUCCGCCUGGGGAGUACGACCGCAAGGUUGAAACUCGAAGGAAUUGACGGGGACCCGCACAAGCGGUGGAGCAUGUGGUUUAAUUCGAAGCAACGCGAAGAACCUUACCAAAUCUUGACAUCCUUUGACAACUCUAGAGAUAGAGCCUUCCCCUUCGGGGGACAAAGUGACAGGUGGUGCAUGGUUGUCGUCAGCUCGUGUCGUGAGAUGUUGGGUUAAGUCCCGCAACGAGCGCAACCCUUAAGCUUAGUUGCCAUCAUUAAGUUGGGCACUCUAAGUUGACUGCCGGUGACAAACCGGAGGAAGGUGGGGAUGGCGUCAAAUCAUCAUGCCCCUUAUGAUUUGGGCUACACACGUGCUACAAUGGACAAUACAAAGGGCAGCGAAACCGCGAGGUCAAGCAAAUCCCAUAAAGUUGUUCUCAGUUCGGAUUGUAGUCUGCAACUCGACUACAUGAAGCUGGAAUCGCUAGUAAUCGUAGAUCAGCAUGCUACGGUGAAUACGUUCCCGGGUCU
rnacentral:rRNA from 1 species